GUAGUCUGCAACUCGACUACAUGAAGCUGGAAUCGCUAGUAAUCGCGAAUCAGCAUGUCGCGGUGAAUACGUUCCCGGGUCUUGUACACACCGCCCGUCACACCAUGAGAGUUGGGGAUACCCGAAGCCUGUGAGCUAACAGUAAUGAAGCAGCAGUCGAAGGUAGAAUCAAUGAUUGGGGUGAAGUCGUAACAAGGUAGC
rnacentral:rRNA from 1 species